AAGUCGUAACAAGGUCUCCGUAGGUGAACCUGCGGAGGGAUCAUAUUAUGGAUUUAUAAUAGCUCUGGGUUAUGCUUAGAGUUAAAAACAGAAGAGCAUAUAUAUUUGAGGGAAGGGUGUUGUUGGUAGCAACAACAGCCUUUUUAAAAUUGGUUUAUAAAAAAGACAUUUAUUAUAUAAUGGAAAUCAAAACAACUUUUAACAACGGAUCUCUAGGCUCUU
rnacentral:misc_RNA from 1 species